rnacentral:tRNA from 1 species
CCUCCUUUCUAAGGAUGAGUGAAAGUAAAAUUUCACUCUAAAUAAUAUACAUCGGUAAUGUUGACCGUCCUCAUUUCUCUUCUUAAAGUAAUGUUUCCUUCUUGUAGGGCCGGUAGCUCAGUUGGUUAGAGCACACCCUUGAUAAGGGUGGGGUCGAAAGUUCGAGUCUUUCUCGGCCCACCAAAAACCUAAAUGGGGGAUUAGCUCAUCUGGGAGAGCGCCUGAUUUGCAUUCAGGAGGUAGCAGGUUCGAUCCCUGUAUCCUCCACCAGGAAACAUUUAGUUAUUAAAACUGUAAAUAAAAAUAAUUUAUAUCAAUAUCUAUAUCCGAACAUUAAAAGUUAUUAUUUAAUGUUCAAAAUAAAAAUUUGAUCACAACAUAGAUU